rnacentral:lncRNA from 1 species
UUAUUUGCAUUAUCAAUUGCAAGAAAAUUUUGGUAAUAAAAUUGAAACAUUUGGAGGUCAAAUGAACUUCUUAAGGAAGCACCACGACCCACAAGCUUGUUGUCACAGGCUGAUUAAUUGUUGAGAAGUGGUGCUGUUACAUCCAAAGAAAUUGUCAAGCACGUGAUGAGCUUAAAGCAAACGGCAGCACAUGAAUUUAUCCUUGAAGCAGCUACACAUCAUGGCCCAAAAAGAAAAAGAGAAAAGCACGUGCACACUUCACGGCCUGGGAGAAAUAUGCUUUCAAAGCUUGGAAAAAAUAUUAUGUGCAUGUUAGAGAAAGCUCACGGCCCAAAAAGAGAAGGGAGGUGCACGUCUAGCUUUGAAUCAAACAAGCAGCCCAUGUGCAAGCAAAC